AAUACAUUUUUUAUGGCAACAUUUUGCUUUGUCAUUUUCAAUCAUGUCGUGACAUGUUGAAAACGCGCGCGCUCCGUCUCCGUGGCCGUGGUAUCUGCGAUUGAAGAAGCCAUCCAUAAAUCAAUAGCCAAUUAUUUAAAAUGUGAAGCAAAGUGAACUAUACUUACUUAGUUUUACUUGAAAUCUUAAAAAGGUAAGGCAAGGAGAAUAAAAUCUUAAAAAGGAACUGAUUUUUCUAUUUGUUGUUUGUGGAAACAGUAAUGGAUUCGUUGAAAGAACUUUUGGAAUCGUGGAAUAUACCACAAGUUGUAGUGACCAAUUUUAUUGAGAAUGGUAUAACGAUUGAACAUUUCCCCAAAUUAAAACUAGACAAUUUGAAAGAAUUAUGCCCACAUAUGGGGACUAGACUAUCUUUAGAGGAAAAGAUAGGGGAGCUUAUUACUGCACAGGCAACGACGGAUGCAGUAUCUGAAUCAACUGAUGAUCAAGUCAUUAUUACUCCCACCUCCAGUAAAUUUGAGACAAGCACCAGUGAUUGUUUAUUUUUGUUAGUUUUUUACCAGUUUAUUAGUUUCAUUAGAUGAACUACAAAUGGUCGACAUCUUGGAAACAACCAAAAGUGUAUCUAGAAAAACAUUUCCACAUUUUGAUUUGGAGACACUACUGCAUACGUCAGCAGGUGGCAAUAGUAUUUUAAAAUACUAUGAAACAUAUGGUUUUCUCAAUAAUACCAAGAGAAACCAGUUGACUGAUAUAAUUAUAAAACAUAUAUACACAUACAUUGUCAAUUACCGGAUAACCUAUGAAGAAUAUAAUAUUAUAUCUGCGAAAAUAAUAUCACUGUUUCCAAAGGAGUCAAUAGGCACUUAUUUUACCAAACCUAUAAAAAAAAAUAAUUCAUUUAAUGGACGUUCUACAGUAGCACGAGGAAAA